CACACUCUUAAUGAGUGUCUACAAAAACAUUUUGAAGAUCUUUGAAACUGAGUCAGCUCUCUCUCAGCCCAUUUUACCUGAGAGCAGCACACCUUUCUCAGGGUUAUCAAACAGACUAUAUCUGAGGAAAAAAAUCCUAAAAUUGAGUGCUACUACCCUGCUGCAUUUUUAGGAAACCUUCAGUGCAAGACCUUGAAAUUCAUCACAUCUUGGCACGAGAGUUCAGAUAUUCUGGAAACAGCUCAGAUGAGAAGAUUUGGAAAAAAAGCUUGAGGAGAAAACAGAUUCCUUCACAGAGCUGUUGCACCGUUCAAAAUAGAGAUGACACACCCGUCUUACACGCCAAGGUGUUUAAAUGUCCUUGGGCAAGACACUGAACUUCAUUGGAAGGUUGGUGCCAGUGUUUGGCAGUGGAGCCGUCAUCAGUGUAAGAAUGGGUGAAUGGGUCUGUGACUUCAAAGGGCUUUGGGCCUUAGAAGAAAGAUAGAAAAGUGCUACACAAGUUUACACCAUUUACCAUUUCUAUGUGCUGGUGUAAGUGUGUGUUAAAGGUCAGAUACUAGCAUCUAAGUUUGUCAUUUUUGGAACAAUAGAGACACAAUUAUGUUGUGUUUUUCAGACUCUUUUUAGGGAUAAUGAUGAUAGACGAUGUCAUCCGUCUCCAGCUCUUGGGGCUUUUCCCCCCCAGCUAGGUGGUUGGCUUGGGGCAAUCAUGUCCUUUGAUUGCACUGCUCUGAAGGCCAUCUGGCAGCGUGCGGUGAAGCAGGUGGACAGCAGUAUGCUAUCCUGGAUUGCUUUCUAUUUAAUUGGCAGAUAGUGCAGAUUUUCCUUCUCUAGAGCAUUGUGUUGGAGAUGCUGCAAACAGAUCAGAGGACGACAAAGUCGCACGUUCACCUUUCAUAGAGUCUCCCCACAGCAGGCUUCAGACACACCUCAAGCUCAUGUCAUCGGCAGAAGUUUCUUUGACAGCUCUUUUGUUGGAGGACGUGCCAGAAGGACCAAAGAGAGGGGAGACGGUUCAUCUGCAACAGGCAAUUAGAGCUGCUGGAAAAUUGGUGUUAGCUCACUAACCUUUCCCCACCCGUUUAUUCCGUCAAUCGGAGAGAUGUGUCAUGGUGCCUCUGUCAGACUCCUCCCCCUCCUGCAGCUGCUCCUCUCCUAUCUACCACCGGCUGUCGUCACUCAUCUCAUCACCCUCUCAGCUCCAAAGGAAACCCAGCUCCACCAUUUGACGCCAGUUCGUUGCCCACUAUGGAAUUCUUCCCCACGAGUCACGUCAGUGUGGACCUACUACCUUACAGUCUUGAAGAACCGGAAGACCACUUGGAUUAUGCCGACCGCGUUUGUACCUCCAGCCACACCACAAGCCCUUCGCUGCUCCGGACCUCGCCACACCAAAAUCAUAACCAUUUCUGGAGAAAUAAUAAAUCAUUCUUACCUGCAAUUACCUGUCCUCAUUCUGGGUUCCAGCACCUGGGUUCGCCUCGCUCGGAAAUCAUGACUAGAUGAGGAAAAAACCGUGUCUUUCAAUUUGGACGUUACCACCCCUUGAUGGUGUGUCAUCAAUAGUCACUGGUGAGGUAUGUUAGCGCGAAGCCGCCAGAGUUUGGAAAAUGCAGAACAUUACUUUUAUAACUUUAAAAUGUCAUGCAACAACGCAAUACCUAGGUUUAAGUGUAAACUUCUGUGCUCCAGAGCACACCCUUGUGAAAAAAAUGUGUUUGUCCUCUGCAUAACAACGCAGAUCCCCCGACUGGUGAAGGGAUAGCCCGUUCUAAGUGUCUACAUGGCUCCUCUUUAAAAAAAACACUUUCAGACACCACUACAGCUUCAAAUGCAAUAGGAAGUAGUCAGAGGGGUAGGAACUCCACCAUG